GACCGAGACUCAAUGAACCAGAUCAGGGCCAAGGUCAGCGAGUUACCUGAGAUUGUCCGUGAUUUGGCCAAUGGCACUCUAACUUGGGCGGAAGUAGAAAGCAGGUACCCCAUCUUUGAAGGACAGGAGACUGGCAAAAAAGAUGGGAUUGAAGAGUAAAUGUCUCUGAUCUGCAGAGAACUCCAGUAAAGUCCAUGGACUUGUUGCGUACUCUUCACAUCACCAGGAGGAAUUUUUAAGUUGCAUCGUGAUCAGCUACAGUGAUGCACAAAACUUCUUCAGCCACUUAAGUCAUGUAUUCAUCAUAUUUAACAGCUGUGGGAAAUGUGCAUAAGAAUUUUCAGUUGCAUUUCAUGCAUGAAAGCUCAGGUGUUUUUAAAAGGGAAAA